rnacentral:rRNA from 1 species
GACGAACGCUGGCGGCGUGCUUAACACAUGCAAGUCGAACGGAAAGGCCCUGCUUUUGUGGGGUGCUCGAGUGGCGAACGGGUGAGUAACACGUGAGUAACCUGCCCUUGACUUUGGGAUAACUUCAGGAAACUGGGGCUAAUACCGGAUAGGAGCUCCUGCUGCAUGGUGGGGGUUGGAAAGUUUCGGCGGUUGGGGAUGGACUCGCGGCUUAUCAGCUUGUUGGUGGGGUAGUGGCUUACCAAGGCUUUGACGGGUAGCCGGCCUGAGAGGGUGACCGGCCACAUUGGGACUGAGAUACGGCCCAGACUCCUACGGGAGGCAGCAGUGGGGAAUAUUGCACAAUGGGCGGAAGCCUGAUGCAGCAACGCCGCGUGCGGAAUGACGGCCUUCGGGUUGUAAGCCGCUUUCGCCUGUGACGAAGCGUGAGUGACGGUAAUGGGUAAAGAAGCACCGGCUAACUACGUG